rnacentral:rRNA from 1 species
UACGGGGGAGCAAGCGUUGUCCGGAUUUAUUGGGCGUAAAGAGCUCGUAGGCGGCUUGUCGCGUCGACUGUGAAACCCGCGGCUCAACCGCGGGCCUGCAGCCGAUACGGGCAGGCUAGAGUCGGUAGGGAGACUGGAAUUCCUGGUGUAGCGGUGAAAUGCGCAGAGUAUCAAGGAGGACACCGGUGGCGAAGGCGGGAUCUCUGGGCCGAUGACUGACGCUGAGGAGCGAAAGCGUGGGGAGCGAACAGGAUAGAUACC